AGGCAGCAGUGGGGGAUAUUGCACAAUGGGGGAAACCCUGAUGCAGCGACGCCGCGUGGGCGAAGAAGUAUUUCGGUAUGUAAAGCCCUAUCAGCAGGGAAGAAGAAAUGACGGUACCUGAGUAAGAAGCACCGGCUAAAUACGUGCC
rnacentral:rRNA from 1 species